UCAACGGCUAGGGAAGCCCCAGUAUCGGGCACAUGUGAUGAGAUUCGAGAGCACCAUCAAAGGCCGCAUCAUAUGGCCCAUGAUCAUCAUCAACAACAGCCGCAACACCACCAUGUACACCAUCAGAUUGCUACCACAGCCUUCCAAAUCAGCAGGCCUUCACAUCCAAUCUCCGCUAUCAUCUCUCCGCCACCCCUACAUCACGCA
rnacentral:misc_RNA from 1 species